GGUCUUUUAGUUUAGUUGGUUAAAAUGUCAUGUUAAUAACCUGAAAAUCACAGAUUUGAAUCUUGCAUGGGUCA
rfam:Glycine soja cultivar W05 scaffold3892_78, whole genome shotgun sequence.